rnacentral:lncRNA from 1 species
ACUUGCUUGAAUCACUAAAUUGGUAAAAAUAGGUGCAAAGAGCUAAUAUUGAGUUUUUGGUCUUUAUGUUGGUGAAAUUGGAGUUAUUUGAAGGGAAGGGAAGUAGUGAAUUUGAGAGGUAGAGGUCUGGGANUUUUUUGAACUGUUGAGGCAGCUUAGGCAAGUUAAUUAUAACUUGUUAGAACUAUAAAAUUUGUUGAUAUGAGGUUCUGAAUGGUAGAAAUGAAGUUGAGCCCUUAGGUUGAGGAAAAACUAGUGUUUUGAGUGAGUUUAGAGGAAAUGAGAGGGUGUUUUUGAGUAAUUGAGGUCUAGGGUGCAAGUGGGC